CACGUAGGGGGCAAGCGUUGUCCGGAUUUAUUGGGCGUAAAGAGCGUGUAGGCGGCCAUACAGGUCAGCUGUGAAAACUCGAGGCUCAACCUCGAGACGUCGGUUGAAACCGUAUGGCUAGAGUCCGGAAGAGGAGAGUGGAAUUCCCGGUGUAGCGGUGAAAUGCGCAGAUAUCGGGAAGAACACCUAUGGCGAAGGCAGCUCUCUGGGACGGUACUGACGCUGAGACGCGAAAGCGUGGGGAGCAAACAGG
rnacentral:rRNA from 1 species